UACAGAGGGUGCGAGCGUUGUCCGGAAUCACUGGGCGUAAAGGGCGCGUAGGCGGUUUGGCAAGUCUAUGGUGAAAGCUCGCCGCUCAACGGCGAGUCGGCCACGGAUACUGCUGAACUGGAGCACUGUAGAGGCAGGUGGAAUUCCGGGUGUAGCGGUGGAAUGCGUAGAGAUCCGGAAGAACACCGGUGGCGAAGGCGGCCUGCUGGGCAGUAGCUGACGCUGAGGCGCGACAGCGUGGGGGAGCAAACAGG
rnacentral:rRNA from 1 species